UUCCUGUAAAAUGAGGAUAUUAAUAAUGAUAUGAAGAUGAUGAUGAUGAUGAUGAUGAUGAUGAUGAUGAUAAAUCAGCUGUGAGGAUUAAAUGUACUAACAGAGGGAUUACUGGAAAGAAUGCUUUCUUGCACAAAAGUGCCCUGAGCGACUAUUAUGGACAACACAAAGACAGCCUCUUUUCUUCAGUUCUUACCAUCCUCAAUUAGACAAAGAAAAACAGCACAAUCACAUCCUAAGUCUGUCUCUGCCAUCGGAGGGGAAUCAUAUUCUCUUCCCAAACAAAUUCUUGCAAAGAUGGAAAAAUGGAACAGGAUUUUUAAAGUAAGAUGAAAAUUGUCUAAUUAUAAAGGUAAUUAAGAAGAAUUUUACAAAAAAGAGGUGAAAGAGUCUUUACUGCCUUCACUCCUUAGUUACAAGACCAUAUGGAUGGAGUUAGUUCAUCAGAUGCAGAGAAAAAAACAGAAGACCUGAGGAUUGGUAAUUUCUUCCAAGGGCUAUCAGCUCCAAGUGUAGAAGCUAAACUGGAUCUAUUACCUUGUCCUCCCUCCAUCUAUUGCUGUCAAAAUGUGGCCUCUGGAUUUUCUUGGGAGAGGUAGACAUGUGUUAGUACUAUGUUUUGAAGUCAUCUCAACCCUCAUUUGAAUUGCUGGUUCUGGUAGGUUUUCCAUUGUCCUCAUU